GAGGUUAAGCGACUAAGCGUACACGGUGGAUGCCCUGGCAGUCAGAGGCGAUGAAGGACGUGCUAAUCUGCGAAAAGCGCCGGCGAGGUGAUAUGAACCUUUGACCCGGCGAUGUCCGAAUGGGGAAACCCAGUGCAAUUCGUUGCACUAUCGUUAACUGAAUACAUAGGUUAACGAGGCGAACCGGGGGAACUGAAACAUCUAAGUACCCCGAGGAAAAGAAAUCAACCGAGAUUCCCCCAGUAGCGGCGAGCGAACGGGGAGCAGCCCAGAGUCUGAAUCAGCUUGUGUGUUAGUGGAACGGUCUGGAAAGUCCGGCGAUACAGGGUGACAGCCCCGUACACGAAAGCACACAGGUUGUGAACUCGAAGAGUAGGGCGGGACACGUGGUAUCCUGUCUGAAUAUGGGGGGACCAUCCUCCAAGGCUAAAUACUCCUGACUGACCGAUAGUGAACCAGUACCGUGAGGGAAAGGCGAAAAGAACCCCGGCGAGGGGAGUGAAAAAGAACCUGAAACCGUGUACGUACAAGCAGUGGGAGCACCUUCGUGGUGUGACUGCGUACCUUUUGUAUAAUGGGUCAGCGACUUAUAUUCUGUAGCAAGGUUAACCGUAUAGGGGAGCCGAAGGGAAACCGAGUCUUAACUGGGCGUUAAGUUGCAGGGUAUAGACCCGAAACCCGGUGAUCUAGCCAUGGGCAGGUUGAAGGUUGGGUAACACUAACUGGAGGACCGAACCGACUAAUGUUGAAAAAUUAGCGGAUGACUUGUGGCUGGGGGUGAAAGGCCAAUCAAACCGGGAGAUAGCUGGUUCUCCCCGAAAGCUAUUUAGGUAGCGCCUCGUGAACUCAUCUUCGGGGGUAGAGCACUGUUUCGGCUAGGGGGCCAUCCCGGCUUACCAACCCGAUGCAAACUACGAAUACCGAAGAAUGUUAUCACGGGAGACACACGGCGGGUGCUAACGUCCGUCGUGAAGAGGGAAACAACCCAGACCGCCAGCUAAGGUCCCAAAGUCAUGGUUAAGUGGGAAACGAUGUGGGAAGGCACAGACAGCCAGGAUGUUGGCUUAGAAGCAGCCAUCAUUUAAAGAAAGCGUAAUAGCUCACUGGUCGAGUCGGCCUGCGCGGAAGAUGUAACGGGGCUAAACCAUGCACCGAAGCUGCGGCAGCGAC
rnacentral:rRNA from 1 species